rnacentral:rRNA from 1 species
CAGUAGCCACGGUAAUACGGAGGGGGCUAGCGUUGUUCGGAAUUACUGGGCGUAAAGCGCACGUAGGCGGCUUGGUAAGUUAGAGGUGAAAGCCCGGAGCUCAACUCCGGAAUUGCCUUUAAGACUGCCGAGCUAGCAGGUGAGAGAGGUAAGUGGAAUUCCGAGUGUAGAGGUGAAAUUCGUAGAUAUUCGGAAGAACACCAGUGGCGAAGGCGGCUUACUGGCUCAUACUGGACGCUGAGGUGCGAAAGCGUGGGGAGCAAACAGGAUUAGAUACCCGUGUAGUCCCUGUCUCUUAUAC